AGUGGAGACAGCUGGAGAGCACUGAGGACGCGGACCCACGGGUACUGUGUGAGCUGUGAAGCCCGCUUGGGAGACCCCACUGCCAGCCAGGUGACCAGGCAUUGAUGCACCCCCAGGAAGGCCACGCGCUCAGGAGGCCCCCCCGCCCCGCUGGCUGCUGCUCACAUGGUGUCUGGGCCCUUGGCACUCUGGUGAGGCGCAGGGGAGGG
rnacentral:lncRNA from 1 species